AUGCGUCAACAUUUCUGUCCUGGUUAUGGAAACGUUUAUGAUUCAUGCGAUUAUAUGUAGACAAUAAACUAGUGUUUAAAAAAACAAAACAAAUGAGAGAGAUGUUUUUUUAAAGAAGUAGCGCUAGAAUUGAGUGCUGUUACUAUACGGAGCUAAAUAGCUAGCUUAGCUUCCUGCAUUAAGGCCUAAUUGUGAGCUUGGCACGUUUUAGGAAGCAACCUUGGGGAUAGAUAUGAGUGUUUAGUUACAUGUUGUAUCAUUUUGAAUUUAGUCGGUUAAUCUGCUUUGAAAUUAUAUAGUGAGGUUCUGCAAACAUGUUAAAUGACCUGAGCAUUGGAUGAUGAUGAUGAUGAUGACCUGCUAAUUUAGACAUUGAUCUCUGAAGGCUUUAUUCUGAAGGUCCACCUUCCUCUGAGCUGAAGCUUUAUCUCCUAGAACAGCAGCAAACAUGACUGGAAUCCAAUCCAGAGAUGAGUCGGUUGGAGACAGUUCUGAUGAUGAACCUCUGAGUAAAAUGGUGAAACCUGGCAAGAAGUGUCCAGAAGAUGCACCCUCGGAUAUCAUGGAAGAUGCUUCACCAAAGAAAACCCUUAAAGAGCCCACCUCUGCUGCGGAUGUUCCAGCAUCCCAGGUUUUCCCAGGGUUUCCUCAGGGUUCUCCAGUUUCCUCCCAGGUCCCACAAAACAAGUGCCCUGGACACAGCUCUGAUGACGAGCCUCUGAGCAAACUGACUGAAUCAAAGGGGGCGAAGCGCUCAAGUAAACAAAAAGAGACUGCUGCGGGGAAGCAGUCAGAAUCUGAAGACGAUCAGCCGCUGACGAUGAUUAUCAAGAAGAAGAAGCAGAAGGCUGACACAGAAGAGCCUGAAGAUGCCAAGAAGACCAGAAGCCCAAAAAAGCGUAAAGCUGUGACGAAGGCCUCAAAGCUCAGAGAUUCAUCACCCUCGCCAUCGCCGUCGCCAGUGAAGGCCACACAGAGAAGAGGACAAAAAGCCCCGUGUAGCGACAGCUCGGAUGACGAGCCCUUGAGCGAGCUGCCGUGGAAGAGGAGCGAGCCAGAGAUGAAGCAGGCGGUGGUGCUGGUGGAGAGGAUGUCUGAAAGAGACGUUAAGGAUGCAGUGGCACGCGGACGUGCACACAGCCAAGAGCAGAAAAGUACAGCCAGAGCAGAGUGUGCAGCGGAGGGCUCAGACGAGGAGCCUCUGAGUCAUAAGAUGAAGAGACUGAAAGAGCAGAGCAAGACUGCGAGAGGCAGGAGACCAGCGGCAGAUGCCAGUUCAGACGACGAGCCCUUGGUGAGGAAAGUGAAAGCAGCGAAGGUGAAGGAUAAGUUUAGAAAGAGAGCUAACGGAGAAGAGGACACAGUCAAACAAGACAGAGAGCUGAGCGAGGAGGACGAGCGUCCACACUGAGAGCCUGGCAGUAGUCACACACAACACAACACGUCUCGCACACGAAUUUAACAGAAGAAACGAGAAGAGGACUCGCUUGUUUCACCGUUCUGUGGAUCAGUAGUUCUGUGCUCAUUCCUUUAUUUAUGUAUAGGAAUAACGUCGCAUUUUCUGAACUCCUAAACCCCGAAACGUGAAUCCCUUUCACUCCAUAACACAUUGAAAAGCUUGAAGUAGUUUCUUUUAUAUUGUUUUAGCAUUUUAAAUUUUGUAUGGUCUUAACCAGGCUUCGGCCUUUUACAUCGUGUACGCUGAUGGUUUUUGAUUUGUAUUUUAAAACAAACAAAAAAAAGUCACUAAAUGUUAUUUACAUAGUUUCUAGGAAGGAAAGUGAAAUGAAAUGUGUUUUUUGAUAAUAUUGACGUGUACACAAGUAUAAACGCAGUGGUGUGAGAGAUAAAUGUGGAGAACGCUGUACAGUAGUUUUCUUUUUGUUUUUUGAUGACCGUUGUUUAGUUUCUUGUGAUUUAAUGUGAUUUUACCAGAUCAGAUUGUUGGAAUUCCCAACAAAUGAAAUAUUCCCGCUGUCAAUACAAUCUAAAGGCUUAAAAAAAUAAAUUACAUCAGUGACUUUGUAAUGAAAAUUGUAGGAACUCUGUGGUUAUUGCCUCUCACCGCUUUUUUCUUUACCGAACCAUACCAUUUUGUCACUCGGCUCUAAUAUAAAUGUCAAGCUUUAGCAAAAAGCUAUAUACAGUCCCCUUCGACACUAUUGGAAAGAAAAGGAAAAUUCAUUUGUUUUUGCUGUAGACUUAAGACAUUUGGGUUUGAGGUCAAAAGAUGAAUAUGAGAAGAGAGUUUUGAAUUUUAGCUUUUAUUUCCUGAUAUUUAUAUGUAAAUGUCUUCAACAAUAUAGAACACAGCACACUUUAUAUCAGAUUACAAAAUUUUGUAGGUGAGCAAAAAAUACUGGAACAUGUGACUGACAGGUGUUUCCUUGUUACCCAGGUGUGUCCUGUUAGAUUGAUUGAUUGCUUGCUUAAACAAUAAAUAGCUCUGAGCAUCUACUCUUGGUUUUAGCUUUCAGUUUCUCCUGUGAAGACUGCAUUUGUUGUUAAAAAGGAUAAACUAACAUGAAGAUCACAGAGCUGUCUAUGGGAGAAAAAUCCAUCAGAGUCACUGCACAAACACUGGGCAUAGCCAAUAGAAC
ensembl:lncRNA